GAUGAACGCUAGCUACAGGCUUAACACAUGCAAGUCGAGGGGAAACGGCAUUGAGUGCUUGCACUCUUUGGACGUCGACCGGCGCACGGGUGAGUAACGCGUAUCCAACCUUCCCAUUACUGUGGGAUAACCUGCCGAAAGGCAGACUAAUACCGCAUAGUCUUCGAUGACGGCAUCAGAUUUGAAGUAAAGAUUUAUCGGUAAUGGAUGGGGAUGCGUCUGAUUAGCUUGUUGGCGGGGUAACGGCCCACCAAGGCUACGAUCAGUAGGGGUUCUGAGAGGAAGGUCCCCCACAUUGGAACUGAGACACGGUCCAAACUCCUACGGGAGGCAGCAGCGAGGAAUAUUGGUCAAUGGACGGAAGUCUGAACCAGCCAAGUAGCGUGCAGGAGGACGGCCCUAUGGGUUGUAAACUGCUUUUGUAUGGGGAUAAAGUUAGGGACGUGUCCCUAUUUGCAGGUACCAUACGAAUAAGGACCGGCUAAUUCCGUG
rnacentral:rRNA from 1 species